UCUAACAUGGCGGCCGCGACGGCACGGGGCGGACGGGGCUGGAGCCCGGCCCGGCUCCGCCAAUCCGCUGCCGGCGAACGUUAUAAAGAGAGGGCAGGCGGCGGCCCGCCCGCGGCUGGUGCGCCACCGCCGCCUUCUCAAGAGAACGGAGGGCGGAGGGAUCCCGGCGGUGCCGCUGCUGCCUCGGGGGCUCCGGCCACGGACCCAUGAGUACAGCGGGGGCGGCCCCCUGGGCCCGAGCCCCCGGAAGUACCUGUGAGGGGGCCUCGGCCCGCUCCACCCGUGCCGGCGAGGGGAGCGGCGCCCGUUACCGCAGGCUGCGGGCGGGUAAAUGUGAGGGUAUGGGGCCGGCCGCAGCGCCCUUGGGGCUGAAGGGAGGGAGCCCCGGGAGACUGAAGCGGGGACAGAGCCCGUCCCGAGGAUACAAGGCCGGGGACAGAGCCCUUGGAGACAUGGCCAGGUGGUCAAACCCACCCGUGAUCCGUGGGAGGAGGGUGUUUCCACAGGUACCCAUCUGGCCUCACAGAGAUGAACACUUCUGUCGCAUCCCAGACAGCAGCCAAGCACCUGGCGAAAGAACCUAAACUCCAAGAACUAAAAGCAGCAGGGCUUUUAAGAGGGCCUGCGCUGACUCACCCCCUCAAAACUAUUUUUAAUAGACAAAAUGGCUUCCAGGUCCUUCUUGCAAUACACCUCUUCCUGUCUUAAUUACAAAAAGGAACUACAAACACUUUUUUAUACCUUUGGGCUAAUAGGACUUCUGCUUAAAGUAAUACCAAUUAAAACAGCAAUGAUAGCUUUGUACGACAAGGGCAAACAGUUUCAGUGAUAAAAUUCUUAUUGAAUCAGUUAAAAGCGCAAAUAAUAUAAUCUAUUAAUGCUUUUGGGGGGCAGAGUUAACUGCAAAGGAAAUGCGUUAUUGUGUAGAGUUUUGUGCGUUCAACCAUGACACUUCACUGUCCUUAAUCCUCUUUUGUGUUUAAUUAAAUACACGUACACAGCCAUCUAAGAUCAUGACAGAAGAGAUUCUACAGUAAUGAUGCUUAAGUGAGAAUACCUAUUUGUGUUCCAUGGCUUGUAAAAUUGCAAACAAGCUUCAACAAGAAAAGAACUACAGAUUAAUCAAAGGCAACAUAAUCAAUUAUUCAUAUACCAAAGAGUUCUAUUUGUUUCAAAUGCAGUGAAACCAGGUUUUGGUGCUACUUGGUACUAUCAAAGCUAGGUCAGAAACUUUUUGAAUUUCCUGCUAGGCAGGAAACUAAAGAGGUAGUGUGCUGGGCUGGUUAUGCACAACAUUUUUUUUCAUUCAGUGACAACUAAAUAAUAAAGUGAAACUGUUAAAAGGAAAGUUUUGUUUACCUACAAAGAAAACAAUACUAUAGCUACAGACCUGAGUGUGCUGUAGCAAAACAUGGAAAGGUGCCAACUUAAAUAAAGAAACUCAAGACUUUAAAUAUAAUGCUAGUAACUGGUAUUUCAAAGCAAUAAAUAACACCAUCACAUACACAUUUAGCUUUUCCACUGCUAGAGAUGAGCUUUGUUGGAUUCCUUUGCAGUAUUGUAAGACUUUGCUAGCUUGUGUCAUUUGUCCACCUGUUUGAAGGCCAGUACUGCUGUAUAUAAAGCUAAUAUUUACUCACCACUGUCACUCUUGCUGCAAUGCUUGUAACUUCACAUAAAAGAAAGAUAUGAAUACGUGAAACCCAAAACAGCUUAACAAUUUGAUAUAAUUAUUGAAGGGAAUCAGAAUUAAACAUGGUAACAUAAGAGCAUAAAAUUCUAAAAUAGACAUCUAAAUAAAACAUUAGUAUCUUUACUCCAUUUGAAAUACACAAUUUAUUUGGGGGUUUUAGUUAUGAAAUAUCUUAGACAAUCCUGUUCUAUUCAGAACAGCUGAAUCCUGUUAUCUCACAAACUAGCUGAUACAUGAUGUUAUACCUACUAUGAAGGUUUGUUUUGGAGCUUUAAUAAAUAUAGGGCAAUCUGUUUUAGGAGUUAAUUAUAUCUGGGUACAAUGGUAUUACCCAGGUCAUUCAUGAUAAUGGAAGAACUUGAAGGAUGGACUCUCUAAAGCAGGUAUACAAAUUCAAAUUUUUUUACAGUAACAGUGAUGUUAAAUGUGGGUUUUGAACCAAGUUGCAGUAGUUCUGUUAAUCUCAUAUAAUAAAAUUGUCUAUGUAAUUUCCA